rnacentral:rRNA from 1 species
AGAGCCUUUUCCGGGCUCAGGACGAACGCUGGCGGCGCGCCUAACACAUGCAAGUCGAACGAGAGAUGAGGAGCUUGCUCUUCAAAUCGAGUGGCGAACGGGUGAGUAACGCGUGAGGAACCUGCCUCAAAGAGGGGGACAACAGUUGGAAACGACUGCUAAUACCGCAUAAGCCCACGGCUCGGCAUCGAGCAGAGGGAAAAGGAGCAAUCCGCUUUGAGAUGGCCUCGCGUCCGAUUAGCUAGUUGGUGAGGUAACGGCCCACCAAGGCGACGAUCGGUAGCCGGACUGAGAGGUUGAACGGCCACAUUGGGACUGAGACACGGCCCAGACUCCUACGGGAGGCAGCAGUGGGGAAUAUUGCACAAUGGGGGAAACCCUGAUGCAGCGACGCCGCGUGGAGGAAGAAGGUCUUCGGAUUGUAAACUCCUGUUGUUGAGGAAGAUAAUGACGGUACUCAACAAGGAAGUGACGGCUAACUACGUGCCAGCAGCCGCGGUAAAACGUAGGGUGCAAGCGUUGUCCGGAAUUACUGGGUGUAAAGGGAGCGCAGGCGGACCGGCAAGUUGGAAGUGAAAACUAUGGGCUCAACCCAUAAAUUGCUUUCAAAACUGCUGGCCUUGAGUAGUGCAGAGGUAGGUGGAAUUCCCGGUGUAGCGGUGGAAUGCGUAGAUAUCGGGAGGAACACCAGUGGCGAAGGCGACCUACUGGGCACCAACUGACGCUGAGGCUCGAAAGCAUGGGUAGCAAACAGGAUUAGAUACCCUGGUAGUCCAUGCCGUAAACGAUGAUUACUAGGUGUUGGAGGAUUGACCCCUUCAGUGCCGCAGUUAACACAAUAAGUAAUCCACCUGGGGAGUACGACCGCAAGGUUGAAACUCAAAGGAAUUGACGGGGGCCCGCACAAGCAGUGGAGUAUGUGGUUUAAUUCGAAGCAACGCGAAGAACCUUACCAGGUCUUGACAUCCUUCUGACCACUCCGUAAUGGGAGUCUUCCUUCGGGACAGAAGAGACAGGUGGUGCAUGGUUGUCGUCAACUCGUGUCGUGAGAUGUUGGGUUAAGUCCCGCAACGAGCGCAACCCCUAUCUUCAGUAGCCAGCAGGUAAGGCUGGGCACUCUGGAGAGACUGCCAGGGAUAACCUGGAGGAAGGUGGGGACGACGUCAAAUCAUCAUGCCCCUUAUGAUCUGGGCGACACACGUGCUACAAUGGCGGUCACAAAGUGAGGCGAACCUGCGAGGGGGAGCAAACCACAAAAAGGCCGUCCCAGUUCGGACUGUAGUCUGCAACCCGACUACACGAAGCUGGAAUCGCUAGUAAUCGCGAAUCAGAAUGUCGCGGUGAAUACGUUCCCGGGUCUUGCACUCACCGCCCGUCA